AACACGCCAAGAAACACCACGGCAGGCAGUUCCAUCCCAGCUCCAGCUCCAAGCAGGGAGAAGAAGGAAGCAUUUCUCUCCCCCUUCCUUCCUUCCUCCGCACUCCACCUCGUCGCCAUGGAUGCAGACCUCCUGCAGCGCUGCCUCGAGGCCGGCGGCCGGGACUUCCUCCUCCACCAUCCGUCCUCCCCUACCUCCCCCACAUCCGCCUCCGCCGCGGCCGCCGCCUCCUCAUCUUCUUCCAUCCUCCAGUCCCUCCCCCUCCAUGUGUCAUUCGACCGCGGCUACUACCUCCUCGUCAAGGCGAUCCAGGAGCUGCGCGAGCGCAAGGAUGGCCUCGUCGUCACCGUCGGCAUCGGCGGGCCCACCGGCUCCGGCAAGACCAGCUUGGCGGAGAAGGUGGCAUCGGUGCUGGGCUGCGUCGUCAUCGUAUCCAUGGAGAACUAUCGCACGGGGGUAGGGGCCGACGAGGGCAGCGACAUCGACUCGAUUGACUUCGACGCCCUCGCCAGCAACCUCCAGGAUCUAGUAAAGGGCAAAGAUACAUUGAUGCCACUGGUUGAUUUUCAAGAGAAGAAACAUACAGGAUGGAGACAACUGAAGAUUUCGUCAUCUGGAGUGGUGAUUGUCGAUGGUGCUUAUGCUCUGCAUUCAACACUAAGGUCACUGCUAGACAUUCGUGUUGCUGUGGUUGGUGGUGUUCAUUUUAGCCUGCUUUCUAAAGUUCAGCACGAUAUUGGAGAUUCUUGUUCAUUGGACUAUCUGAUUGAUAGCAUAUUUCCGCUGUUCAGAAAGCACAUUGAGCCAGACCUGCAUCAUGCUCAAAUUAGAAUUGAUAACAGCUUUGUCUGCUCAUUCCGCGAGCCCUACUACAAGCUAAAAUGCAAGAAUGAGUCACCAGAUGGCCAGAAGUUCUAUUCUUUCGAUAGAAGUAAAGCAGAAACUGUGAACUUUAUUGAGAUGUACCUUAGGCCGCCUUCUGCUUCUGAAGAAAUGAAAAUUGAUGAUUGGAUUAAAGUUACACAAUGUGGUAUAAGAUAUUACCUGUCUCUCGGGGACCAGCGGAUUGUUGACAAGUUCUUUAUUAUCCGUCCAAAAGCUGAGUUUGAGGUUGGACGUACAACUCUUGGAGGAUUGUUGGCCUUGGGAUAUAGUGUUGUUGUUAGCUUUAAGCGUACAUCCAGAACUGUCAACAGAAAUCAGUUAUUGAUAGCAGCAGAGACCAUUGACACCCUAAAUGAGUCCUUUUUGGUGUUAAAAGGCCCAAGUAGGAAGACCGUUGCAGCAGAAGCUUCUAAUAUUGGUUUAAAGGGUCCAUGGAUAACAAAGUCCUACCUGGAAAUGAUCCUGGAGAGCAAAGGGGUUCCACGACUUAAUACACCCCCACCAGUAUCUAGCAAACUACUGACUGAAAGUCAAGAGAAGAAAAUUACUGUGCCCAAACCAAUCCGUGUUCUUACUGAUAGAGUUGCAAAUCUUGAUGACUUUGCGCAACCAUGGACUAGGUCUCCACCCAAAAAGUUUGACCAGGAACCUCCUCUCGGAAAAUGGCAGUUUAUUCCAGAUUCUUCUUCAAGAAGUAAAAUCCAGCUAGCACCCCUGCCAGAUUCUUAUGACUUAGAUAGGGGUCUUCUUCUAUCAGUUCAAGCAAUUCAGGCAGUGUUGGAGACCAAAGGAUUUCCCGUCAUUGUUGGGAUUGGUGGUCCUAGUGGAUCUGGAAAAACAAGUUUAGCUCAGAAGAUGGCCAACAUAAUUGGCUGUGAAGUUAUAAGCUUGGAAAGUUAUUACAAGCCUGAGCAAGUGAGGGACUACAAAUAUGAUGAGUAUAGCUCAUUGGAUAUUGCUUUGCUGACUAAGAAUAUUACAGAGAUCAGAAACAGUCAUAAAGCAAAACUCCCUUGCUUUGACUUCGAAAAGUUCACCAGAAGUGGAUUCAAGGAGUUUCAAGUGUCCGAGGAAUGUGGAGUGGUAAUCUUUGAAGGUGUCUAUACUUUGCAUCCUGCCAUAAGGAAAUCACUGGAUUUGUGGAUUGCAGUUUUUGGUGGAGUUCAUUCUCAUCUUAUUGCAAGAAUACAGAGAGACAAGAAUCGUGCAGGCUUUUCUAUUUCCCAGAGUGAAAUUAUGACCACUGUGUUUCCGCUAUUUCAACAAUAUAUAGAACCACAUCUUGUCGAUGCUCAUCUGAAGAUUCAAAACGAUUUUGAUCCUGUGCUCUCUCCUGAAAGCUCACCUUUUGUUUUAAAAAGUACAAAACAGGUAUUCUACAAAGACAUACUAAAAGUGCUAGAUGCCAGUAAGGUCUGCAGCUCUGUCCAGAACUUCACUGAUGUGUACUUAAGACUUCCUGGUAUACAAUCAAAUGGACAGCUGACAGAAGGCGAGUGUAUUAGGGUCAGAAUAUGUGAAGGAAGAUUUGCAUUGUUAAUACGAGAGCCUAUAAGGGAGGGGAAUUUUAUUAUCCAGCCAAAGGUUGAUUUUGAUAUUAGUGCCAGCACUGUGGCAGGACUUCUUAAGCUUGGUUACCAAGCUGUUGCAUACAUCGAAGCUUCUGCUGUGAUUUACCAAGACGGAAAGAUUCUUAUAGAAGUUGACCAUCUACAAGGCGUGACCAAUCCAUAUAUUCAAAUUAAAGGAACAAACAAGGAGAUAGUUUCCUCUGCUGCUUCUGCUCUCAGCCUAGAUGGUUCAUACACGACAAAGAGUUAUCUUCAAAUUAUUUUGGAGAGUUUACCAGCGGAUGAUAAUGUUCCUGCUGGUAUUCAUACCCAGCAAGCUGCUAGGCUACAGGAACUAGUUGAGUUCAUCCAAUCACAAGGUGGGAGCUUCAAUUCUGAUUUAUCUUCACCUAUGAGAGAAAAUUCUUCAACAGAUGGCAUGAUUGAUGAUCUGCACUCCAGGAUAAAGAAGCUUGAGAGAUGGAAUACAAUAAAUAUGGUUUUAUGGACGAUACUGCUGUCUGCUCUUGUUGGAUAUUCACUAUACCAAAAAAGACGUCAUUAAUAGGCCAUACAAUUGACCUCAACUGAACCACGCCAGAACUUUUUAUUCUGAUGUUUUGGCAUGGUUGAUGAACAGAAUCAUUUGACAGUUUAUUGGUAGGCUAGUGCAUAUAAGAUCAUGGCGUCUGACAUGUAAAAUAUUCAUGCACCACAGUUACUGUUUCAACAGAAGGGCAUAUGAGCUGUGAUUGUUAUAGGGAUGGAGAGACAGUGAGAGUGUGAGACACUGUCAAAAUGA